rnacentral:sRNA from 1 species
AGUUGAUUGGGAAACUCAUCAAUGAAUAUGAAAUGCCGAGACAAGUUUUCUUUUCUAAUGGCGGGCCACACUCUUUCGGGAGAUGCUUUGCACGGUGGAUUACAAAGGAAAAGGACUCUCAAAUCCUGUUUUUCGGAGUUUCAUCACAUCCUUCGAUGCGACUUUUUU